GAUGCCCAUCCCAUCGCCGCUUGAAAAAAUUUGACACGCACGCAAUCGAACCUCAUUCGUAGCAGCCAGAGUGACCCAAAAACAAACUAAUUUUAACUUGUGCAAUCCCACGUUAUCACUAUCGCUAUCCUGUCGGGUUUUUCUUCCUUAGAUCUAAGGACACCGCCCCCUUCCCCCCCUCCUCUCCUCAGCCCGCCCCAGUAGGACUGAAGGAAUAAUUGAGAGGUCUAAACACAAAGAGAACAAAAGUACUCAACUCCAACCUUCCUCUCCUUUCUCCUCUCCUCUUCUCUGGGAUUUUUUACUGCUAACCAAAAUAUCAAAGACCUUAAUGGCUUUCCAAUCAUAAUUUAAUCAAGUUACUGUAACUCUGCUUCAAUUCUUCUCUGCUAGUAUUUUUGUUUGAUCUAAAUUAUUCCUAAAUAAAUGGAGUCCGAGCUGAAAACCCUUAACCCGAAUCCAGCUCAAAUUCAACCUACCCAGCGGUCCCCACCCGUCGAUGAUAACUUAACAAAAGAUGACCGCCCGCUUCUCAAACCCGAACCUGUGCCCCCCGGCCCGACCCAGAACCCAGCCACCACGACCGCCCCUGACAUUGAAGAGCUGGAGAAGAAGUAUGCCGCCUACGUCAGGCGCGAUGUUUAUGGGGUAAUGGGUCGGGGCGAUUUGCCCUGGGUGGAGAAGCUGCUCCUGGGUUUGGCCCUGGUGACGCUGGUGCCUUUGAGGCUGGUGUCUGGGUUGACGGUGCUGGUGCUUUAUUACUUCAUUUGUAGGAUUUGUACAGCGUUUUUGGCUCCGAAUCGGGAGGAUGAGCAGGAGGAUUAUGCUCACAUGGGUGGGUGGAGGAGGGCUGUGAUCGUCCAAACCGGGAGAUUUUGUUCUCGGGCUCUGCUUUUUAUUUUCGGGUUUUAUUGGAUUAGCGAAACUCAUCGGGACAUCGUGGAUGUUAGUUUCAAUGGGAAGUUUGGUACCCAGGUUGCUGAAGUGUGGACUAUUUUGGAUGAGAAAUGUGAUAAAGUUUGGAGCUUGAUGUCAUGCAUUAAUCUCUUUGACUGGAAACAGUUAGGAUAUUCAGGAACUCACAAGCUGUCAACUUUGACUGAGUCGAAGGAUCAAUCACAAGAUUCUGCAAGACCUGGAGUGAUCGUUUCAAAUCAUGUGUCUUAUUUGGAUAUCUUGUACCACAUGUCAUCUUCUUUUCCCAGCUUUGUUGCCAAGAGAUCAGUGGCUAAACUUCCUCUAGUUGGUCUCAUCAGCAAAUGCCUUGGUUGUGUCUAUGUCCAACGGGAGUCGAAAUCAUCCGACUUCAAAGGUGUCUCAGGUAUUGUUAAUGACAGAAUUAAGGAAGCUCAUCAGGAUAAGAAUGCCCCUAUGAUGAUGCUCUUUCCAGAAGGCACAACAACUAAUGGAGACUUCCUCCUUCCAUUUAAAACUGGUGCCUUUUUGGCAAAAGCUCCUGUGCUCCCGGUUAUUUUAAGGUAUCCAUACCAGAGAUUCAGUCCUGCCUGGGACUCCAUUUCUGGAGUGAGACAUGUAUUUUUCCUUCUCUGCCAAUUUGUAAAUUACAUGGAGGUGACAAAGCUACCUGUGUAUCACCCAUCGCAGCAAGAGAAGGAUGAUCCAAGGCUUUAUGCAGAAAACGUCAGGAGGUUAAUGGCUCAUGAGGGUGGUUUAGUGCUCUCAGAUAUUGGCUUGGCUGAGAAACGAGUAUAUCAUGCUGCUCUCAAUGGUGUAUUUUGUCAACAGUAAUUCAGGUUCGCGGUCUGUAUAUUCAUAUGUCUUGGCUUUUCAACAGUCUGCUGUCAUCUUUGAGGAAAAAAAAAAAAAGCACUGGUGAUGGGGCUGUGACCUUGUCGCUUCUUGAAUCUCAUGUAAACGAGGAGAGAGAGAGAGAGCUGAAUUCCACCGAUGGUGUUAACGCAUGCAGAGACUGGUAGAAAUUUGGUGAAGAGUGGACUGGAGUCGGGGGGAGGGGGGGCUACGUUUGUAAUGAUCCGAGCUAAUUUAUUGUUCGAGGUAAUAUGCAGGCAUGCAUACUUCAAAUGGGUCUCUUAUGGGGCGAUCUUGGAUCAAAUUAAACUGAACAAGGAAUGGGGUUUUGCCACGGCUUCCUGAUGCUGGUUUUCUGCCUACUUUGCUGGGAGGUUCAGGGUGGAAGCAGUUCCAAGCCUUGAUCUUUGUGUCGAAGCAAGAAAACAUUAACAACAGUAAUCCUCAGAACCCCGCACGCAUUUAGGAAGAGGUGUACAACUCAUUUCGGGUUUGAGAGAAGCAUGCUUUUGCGUUAGCUCAAAGCUUUUCCUGUGGAACUUGAAGCAGUAUUUCUCAUGCCCAAAAGUGAAGACACCAUUUAACUCAUCAGUUUUAUGGCACCAAAAUGCCCUGAACCUGCGGGAAAGCUGUUGCAGACAACAGGUCUACCUGCACAAGGCAUGAAAUUAUAAUGCCUCGAACUCGAAGGUCAAGCUUGCUGAGUGAUCACUACAUUGACAAUAAACCUGACAGACCCCUUUCCCGAGUUCAAGCAACAGAACUUCAGGAUGUCAUAUUGCAGAUUUGUUCAGGAAUUGAGCUAAAUACUAGCUGUGAUUUGAAGGUGUCAGGAGAUGAAAGUGAACGCUUUUAAAAGCGCAAGGAAGGAAAAAUUGGAGAAUGAUGAUACUCACAAUUCAGCUUUUCCACUGCA